CGUACACUCCUACGGGAGGCAGCAGUGGGCAAUAUUGCACAAUGGGCGCAAGCCUGAUGCAGCCAUGCCGCGUGUAUGAAGAAGGCCUUCGGGUUGUAAAGUACUUUCAGCGGGGAGGAAGGCAAUACGGUUAAUAACCGUGUUGAUUGACGUUACCCGCAGAAGAAGCACCGGCUAACUCCGUGCCAGCAGCCGCGGUAAUACGGAGGGUGCAAGCGUUAAUCGGAAUUACUGGGCGUAAAGCGCACGCAGGCGGUCUGUCAAGUCGGAUGUGAAAUCCCCGGGCUCAACCUGGGAACUGCAUUCGAAACUGGCAGGCUUGAGUCUUGUAGAGGGGGGUAGAAUUCCAGGUGUAGCGGUGAAAUGCGUAGAGAUCUGGAGGAAUACCGGUGGCGAAGGCGGCCCCCUGGACAAAGACUGACGCUCAGGUGCGAAAGCGUGGGGAGCAAACAGGAUUAGAUACCCGAGUAGUCCC
rnacentral:rRNA from 1 species